AACACACACAUUCAGGGAUCAUUUUUAUAAUAUGUGACUAGAGAAGUUUCUCUGAUCCUGUAGAGCACCUGAAGCCACGAGGAGCCAGAGCUUCCUCUCCUGAGCCAGAAACCAGCUCUAGGUGUCAAUUCUGCGACUGCCUUUGGCUAUUGAUGAUCUUUCUUCCCUUCCUUUGGAAGGGGUAGAGGGUUAGGAUGCAGUCUGAGUAAA